UACGAAGGGGGCUAGCGUUGCUCGGAAUCACUGGGCGUAAAGCGCACGUAGGCGGAUUGCUAAGUCAGGGGUGAAAUCCUGGAGCUCAACUCCAGAACUGCCCUUGAUACUGGCGGUCUCGAGUCCGGGAGAGGUGAGUGGAACUGCGAGUGUAGAGGUGAAAUUCGUAGAUAUUCGGAAGAACACCAGUGGCGAAGGCGGCUCACUGGUCCGGUACUGACGCUGGAGG
rnacentral:rRNA from 1 species